GAUGAACGCUGGCGGCGUGCCUAAUACAUGCAAGUCGAGCGAACGGACGAGAAGCUUGCUCCUCUGAUGUUAGCGGCGGACGGGUGAGUAACACGUGGAUAACCUACCUAUAAGACUGGGAUAACUUCGGGAAACCGGAGCUAAUACCGGAUGAUAUUUUGAACCGCAUGGUUCAAGAGUGAAAGACGGUUUUGCUGUCACUUAUAGAUGGAUCCGCGCUGCAUUAGCUAGUUGGUAAGGUAACGGCUUACCAAGGCAACGAUGCAUAGCCGACCUGAGAGGGUGAUCGGCCACACUGGAACUGAGAGACGGUCACGACGCCUACGGGAGGCAGCAGUAGGGAAUCUUCCGCAAUGGGCGAAAGCCUGACGGAGAAACGCCGCGUGAGUGAUGAAGGUCUUCGGAUCGUAAAACUCUGUUAUUAGGGAAGAACAAAUGUGUAAGUAACUGUGCACAUCUUGACGGUACCUACUCAGAAAGCCACGGCUAACUACGUG
rnacentral:rRNA from 1 species